rnacentral:snoRNA from 1 species
AUCGAGGCUAGCGUCACGCCUUGGGUAUUGGCUGUUGCCUCAGUGUGUUAGAGUCCUCGAAGAAUAACCACUGACCUUAUUCACUGGCUGUGGGCAAUGUGGCACAAUCAGUCACCAGGGUUAAAUUU